UCCGAAAUGGUCUAGUGGCUAGGAUUUCUCGCUCUCAAGUGUUGACAUUUGCAAUACGAAGUGCCGAGGAGGCCGGGGUUCAAUUCCCCGUUUCGGAA
rfam:Sphaerulina musiva SO2202 unplaced genomic scaffold SEPMTscaffold_4, whole genome shotgun sequence.